GUCGUCGUCGGCAGUCGUCGCGGACGGAAUGUUGUUGGCUAUCCUGUAGCUCGAUGUUCGACAACCGUUCGACUCGAAUACCGUGGCGACAUUUUGUUCUCAAUUUUUCUUUCGUCUCGUUGCUCGUUCAUCAUCCUUUCUUCGAACUGGAUUAUCGCGUCUGGGACUCCGUACUAGUGAUAUACCACACGCUACGCCAGCACGUUUUGGAAAUGGCGUUACCCAUUGCGACGAAACGAAAGGGGAAGGUUAUGUCAGGUUGCACCAUUCAAAAACGUGCUAACGUAGCGUGUGCUGUCGCUUACUCGAAGUCUGAGCCCUGGCUUGAAAAUAGUGCUCAAGGAAUCGUAGGUUAUGCAGCAAGUCAUGGUUCUCUAAGGAUUAUUUAGAAAUUUUGACGAGCCUGAUAUUACUGAAACUAGAGAAAGAGUCUCCUGUCAAUUCUACAUUGUUUGAUAACCCUACCAACGAUCGAAGAGACUGUUCUUUUGCUGGUUGGGACUGUACUGUGAAUAUCACUAAAAAUAAAUCUGUUUUAUUUGUUCAAACAAUUUUCUCCAAAUGGUCGACCUCUCCCAGGUAGCACUGUCAACAUAUCAACUGGAUGUUAACGAGACCAAGCGUACACAGUGUCCCUUACAGUACCAUAACCUACACCGAUAUACAAAAGCAUUAGGAAUAUCGUGAAGGCAGUGGAGUGUGCUGUUCAUUUGAAAGAUUUCAAGCGAAAUAUAUACUCACAGAGAAAAGAGAGCCUGGGCUAAUUGAAUAUCGAAAAUGGAGGCCCAGCAAAAUGACAGGAAUUUUCGACACCUGGUGUCAACCUUUUCUCUCGACCAUCUCAAUAGUGCCGACGCAUCGACUCCCAGUUGGGCUUCCAGAAUGUUUCUUCUGCCGAAGGAAGAAGGACGAAGGAACAAAACUGAAAAGACACUGAAUUAAAGUAACAGAGGAAGAUCACAAAGCGCAGCAAUGUAGGUCUGCGCCAUCUGCAGCGUCUCGAAUUUACUGAGCUUGUGAUCGGCGCCUAAACUGGGGACAACUUCACGGAGUUUAUCGAAAGCGUCGUUCAAGCCGUUCAUGCGACGUCUUUCACGUGCAUUGGCAGCGAGACGACGACGCUUCAAGACGCUGGGGGACGGUGGUACGUCCCUGGAUCUUCGACGACCUCUUCUUGGACUGGAAGUUGGUGAAGACUGAAUUUUCUAUGGAAAAAGAAAGUGAGAUUUUCUUCUGGUACCUCCUCCAUUUCCGGCUAGUCUUUUCCUAAGAAACAAUCGUGGCGUUCAUAUCUCUUACCUAGGAUCUAAAUUUUGGAUGGACUAAUGGCUGUCCAUUAAGAAUUUCCAAAAAUGACCUCAUCGAGUAACAACACACUUCUUAAUAUAAAAAAUAUAAGGCAAACCAGGAACUUGGUGCUCUUUAUCUGUGUACCUGUAUGGCAAAGGAGAAGGCUUUGAUAGUAUCACAGGGGCGUCCCUUUAAAUUCAAAAGAUGCCAAAGAUAACUUGAAAGGAGAGAGAAGAAGCUUAAGGACAAGGAGAAAAGAAAAGAGGGCAAGAUCAACCGUCGCGUGCCAAGAUAGGUACAUGAAGGUAGCAAGGUGUUACUUGGAAGAGUCCAUAGGGUAGAUUCCUAUGUUGAUACGAACUUCCUAUAGAUGAUGAUGAUGAUGAUGAUAAUGAUAAUGAUGAUGAUGAUGAUGAUGAUGAUGGGAUGCCAAGAGAAAAUCUAAAGUCGUGUAAUUUCAUUAGGGAGGUAAUACCGACUGUCUAAGGACUAAUGAUUUUUCUAUAAAAAUCAUUCAUAAGCAUAUAUUAUGCUAAGACCAGUACUGAGGCGUUUAAAAGAAAAUUAUACUGAAUUUCACCAUUCGGUUCUCUUGUUGGCCAACCCGUUUUAUCGUUACUCAUUUCUAUCCAAUUAGCGGAUUCUGAGC